rnacentral:rRNA from 1 species
CCUACGGGGGGCUGCAGUGGGGAAUAUUGCACAAUGGGCGCAAGCCUGAUGCAGCCAUGCCGCGUGUGUGAAGAAGGCCUUCGGGUUGUAAAGCACUUUCAGCGGGGCGGAAGGCGGUGAGGUUAAUAACCUCAUCGAUUGACGUUACCCGCAGAAGAAGCACCGGCUAACUCCGUGCCAGCAGCCGCGGUAAUACGGAGGGUGCAAGCGUUAAUCGGAAUUACUGGGCGUAAAGCGCACGCAGGCGGUCUGUCAAGUCGGAUGUGAAAUCCCCGGGCUCAACCUGGGAACUGCAUUCGAAACUGGCAGGCUAGAGUCUUGUAGAGGGGGGUAGAAUUCCAGGUGUAGCGGUGAAAUGCGUAGAGACCUGGAGGAAUACCGGUGGCGAAGGCGGCCCCCUGGACAAAGACUGACGCGCAGGUGCGAAAGCGUGGGGAGCAAACAGGAUUAGAUACCCCUGUAGUC